rnacentral:lncRNA from 1 species
CCAUGCCCUGCUCUGAAGAGACACCCACCGUUACCCCCAGCAAACAGGCUGGUUUGCAGAGGAAGGCAGCAUGCAGCUCCGUUUUGCCCCAUUCUCUGAGCAGGCCACAACCCUGACUCAGGGAUCCACACAGGCCACAGGCUAUGACCUCAACGGUGCCUAUGAUGAUACAAUACCACCUAUGGAGAAAGCUCUAGGGAAAAUGGACAUUCAGAUAGCUCUUCCUUCUGGAUGUUACAGAAGAGUAGCUCCAUGGUUUGGAUUAGCUGCAAAACACUUUAUUGAUAGAUGAAGAUUACUGAGGAAAUGUUGGUGCUGUACUGUUUAAUUUUGGCAAAAAAAAGUUUAAAGUCAGAAAAAGUGAUCGUAUUGCACAGCUCAUUUGUGAAUGAAUUUUUAAUCCAGAAAUAGAAGUUCAAGCUUUGGAUGAUGCUGAAAGGCAUUCAGAAGAGUUAGGUUCUAUUAGAAAG